CAGCAGCUGGGGGAGGUUGGGAUAGUAAGAGCCUCUGGUGAGAAGGGAGAGCCGGCCAGAACGCCACAGCGCCCGUUGCCGGUGGCCAUUUUGUAUGAGCUUGGGAAGGGCUCAGGGGCCCGGAGACAAGGGGUCUGUUUCUUUAGGGACCAAAUGACUCUGGAGGGAGAAGCCAAGGCAGGGGAAAGAGAUUGAACAGAGAAGACAGACAGAUGGAGCUCUUAGAACUUGAAGAGACUUAGAGAACUUCAGUCCAAUCCCACAACCCAAUAUCGGACUCCGCCCAAAAGCAAGCGGGAAGUGGCUCGCUGCACCUUCCCUGGAGGGUGGAGAAGUUCUUCCUUAUUGUCAGCUAACAUCAGCCUUCCUGCUCUAGAAACAAGGUGUUCGGAGCUGGCCACAGCACGUCAGAUGUGGCAGACCAGCCUGGAACACAUAUACGUCUAGGCACGAAGGGCACUUCUUGCACACGGUCCAAGACAGCGAUCACCUGCCUUUGCCAGUACUAUGCUGGGUGCUGGGCAUAUGAAGACAGGUCACAGCUGCCUCUGCACUGAGCUGUGUAUGUGCGUGUAUCAGAUUCAAGAGGGUGGCAAGAGAUGAGUUAAAGAUCUUCUAGCUAAACCUCCCACUCGCCUUCAGCUCCAGGGGCGAGCCUGCUAACCUAGGAGAGCCGCCUGCUCUCAGAAACUGGAGUCCUUGGGGGGCGCUGUUGGCACCAUGCUAUGGCCCACUCCCUCCCUUCUCUCCCCAGAAUAACCACUGCUCAACAAGUUUGAGUCCUCGGGCAGUCUUCUCUGUCUGAAAACUGGAGAAAAGGAAGGCUCUAUAUCAAAACUCUCAGGGACCGAGGAAGGAAGUUAAAUAAACCCAAGAGUCCUGAAACAACCUGACAUUGGAGAAUCAACUAAUAGAAGCUACAGCACCGGGUUGAGCAAAUAAAACCUGCUCCUGCCUCCACAGAGCCUAGAAUGGGACAUCUUGAAAGAAUCCAGAGGCUGUUAGCCAUUUGAACCCUCAGAGAGAAAGCUCCAAGCACAGUGCUGCAGGCUGCAGUUCUCAGUUGCUGUUCCCUCCUUUCACAGGGUGAGGGAAAGCCGUGGUUGAUAAGCAGAUGGCCCAGCUGACCCUCAUCAGCCCGCGAACACUGCACGCAAAAAGAAUUAAUAAAUCAAAUCUAAGAGAGUUAAAAAGGGAGAUGGUUACAUCUUACCAAUAAGUUCAUUAUUUUCCACAUUGGCUCAGCUCUGGACUAUGUCAAAGAAAUGGAUGGUGUUAUCUAACGUAGCCCAGACCACCAGAAGGGGCAGCAUGGGCAGACCACACGCGAUCACGCGUGCACAUAAGCACGGAGGAUUCGGAAAGACCAAGAAAGUAAUCUAAGUAACAGAGGCCCAAGAUCUGGCGAUUCCAAAAGAGCAGUCUUGACUGUCUUCUCUGAGCUUUACAGAGUCACGUUUGCCCUGAUUACCCUGCGGAAACAGGAGGAACUCGUCUGGUCGGUUUCACCCAUUUGUUGGCAUUUCCCUGUUGCCAAAUAUAGGCCCCAGGAAUUGUGUUUAAUCACUCACUCUCUUGCCUUUUUGCAGCUCUCUCAAUUUGGUGCCAUGGAAUAGAGGAAAGUAACCCCUUUUACAGUUUAAUAAGAGGCACCUAUAAAAUCAGCUGUAACGGAUCCAAUCUGGUUGGGCCAGGGGCUGGGCAAGGCCAAAAAGAUUCAAAGGCGAACUGCCCUCCACCCACAUAAUUCAAAAUAAAAUU